rnacentral:rRNA from 1 species
GAGUUUGAUCCUGGCUCAGAUUGAACGCUGGCGGCAUGCCUAACACAUGCAAGUCGAACGGCAGCAUAAUUUGUAGUAAUACAGAUUGAUGGCGAGUGGCGGACGGGUGAGUAACGCGUAGGAAUCUGCCUUUCAGAGGGGGAUAGCCUUAGGAAACUGAGGGUAAUACCGCAUAAUACUGAGAAGUCAAAGGCGUGGGAUUUUAGGACCACGCGCUGAGGGAGGAGUCUGCGUCAGAUUAGCUAGUUGGUGGGGUAAAGGCCUACCAAGGCGACGAUCUGUAGCUGGUCUGAGAGGACGAACAGCCACACUGGGACUGGGACACGGCCCAGACUCCUACGGGAGGCAGCAGUGGGGAAUAUUGGACAAUGGGGGAAACCCUGAUCCAGCGAUGCCGCGUGUGUGAAGAAGGCCUUCGGGUUGUAAAGCACUUUAGUUUGGGAAGAAGUUAAUGAGUCUAAUAGGCUUAUUGAUUGACAUUACCGAAAGAAUAAGCACCGGCUAACUCUGUGCCAGCAGCCGCGGUAAUACAGAGGGUGCGAGCGUUAAUCGGAAUUACUGGGCGUAAAGGGCGCGUAGGCGGUUAUACAAGUCAGUUGUGAAAUAUCUGGGCUCAACCUAGAAAUUGCAGAUGAAACUGUAUAGCAAGAGUGCAGUAGAGGGUAGCGGAAUUUCCGGUGUAGCGGUGAAAUGCGUAGAUAUCGGAAGGAACACCGGUGGCGAAGGCGGCUAUCUGGACUGCAACUGACGCCGAGGCGCGAAAGCGUGGGGAUCAAACAGGAUUAGAUACCCUGGUAGUCCACGCUGUAAACGAUGAGUACUAGAUGUUGGGUGUCGAUGUACACUUAGUAUCGAAGCUAACGCGAUAAGUACUCCGCCUGGGGAGUACGGCCGCAAGGUUAAAACUCAAAGGAAUUGACGGGGGCCCGCACAAGCGGUGGAGCAUGUGGUUUAAUUCGAUGCAACGCGAAGAACCUUACCUACUCUUGACAUCCCUCGAAUUUGCCAGAGAUGGUGGAGUGCCUACGGGAAUGAGGAGACAGGUGCUGCAUGGCUGUCGUCAGCUCGUGUCGUGAGAUGUUGGGUUAAGUCCCGUAACGAGCGCAACCCCUAUCACUAGUUACCAGCACGUAGAGGUGGGAACUCUAGUGAGACUGCCAGUGAUAAACUGGAGGAAGGCGGGGACGACGUCAAGUCAUCAUGGCCUUAUGAGUAGGGCUACACACGUGCUACAAUGGGCAGUACAAAGGGAAGCGAAGCGGCGACGUGAAGCGGACCUCAAAAAGCUGUUCGUAGUCCGGAUCGGAGUCUGCAACUCGACUCCGUGAAGUUGGAAUCGCUAGUAAUCGCGGAUCAGCAUGCCGCGGUGAAUACGUUCUCGGGCCUUGUACACACCGCCCGUCACACCAUGGGAGUGGGUUGUACCAGAAGUGAGUAGACUAACCUUCGGGGAGUCGCUUCCCACGGUAUGAUUCAUGACUGGGGUGAAGUCGUAACAAGGUA